rnacentral:rRNA from 1 species
UGCANUCNNNGAUGAAUAAAGAGCUUGNUCUUUAUGAUUAGUGGNGNACGGGUGAGUAAUAUAUAGAUAACGUACCUUCGAGACUGGGAUAGCCAUUGGAAACGAUGAUUAAUACUAGAUACUCCAUCUAAUUCUAAUUUUAGAUGGGAAAGUUUUUCGCUCGAAGAUCGGNCUAUAUCCCAUCAGCUAGUUGGUAAGGUAAGAGCUUACCAAGGCGAUGACGGGUAGCGGGUUUGAGAGGAUGAUCCGCCACACUGGUACUGAGACACGGACCAGANNNNNNNGGGAGGCAGCAGUGAGGAAUAUUGCACAAUGGGGGAAACCCUGAUGCAGCAACGNCGCGUGGAGGAUGACGCAUUUCGGUGUGUAAACUCCUUUUAUGAGUCAAGAAAAUGACGGUAGCUCAUGAAUAAGCACCGGCUAACUCCGUGCCAGCAGCCGCGGUAAUACGGAGGGUGCAAGCGUUACUCGGAAUCACUGGGCGUAAAGGACGCGUAGGCGGGUUGCCAAGUCAGAUGUGAAAUCCUACAGCUUAACUGUAGAACUGCAUUUGAAACUGGUAGCCUAGAGUAUGGGAGGGGGAGAUGGAAUUAGUGGUGUAGGGGUAAAAUCCGUAGAUAUCACUAGGAAUACCUAAAGCGAAGGCGAUCUCCUGGAACAUUACUGACGCUAAGGCGUGAAAGCGUGGGGAGCAAACGGGAUUAGAUACCCUGGUAGUCC